GCCUGAGUGGCUUAGUCGGUUAAGUGUCUGACUCCAACUCAGGUCCUGAUCUCACGGUUUGUGGGUUCGAGCCCUGUGUCAGGCU
rnacentral:tRNA from 1 species